GGAGCAGAGCAGGGGGAGGAUCAGAGCGGAGCACGGACGCCGGAAAAAGGGAGAAGAGCUGAGAGGCAGUGGAGAUGCCGCCGAAAAGAGGAGCGCCGAUGUCACCCCUGUCUAACCCACCGCCUGCGCCGCCGCCUGUGGGUUCUAUUCAUAGCUCUGAGGGGAGUACGGCGACUAUCGGGUGUAGCCGUAGAGAUCGCAAGGCUAGGGAUAGAGACACUUGGUUAUUUACUGGCCCGAUGGGAGGAGGUCCUAGACUUGGUAGCCUUAUUCCUAGCUACCCGGCUCACGUUGCUGCGUGCCUAUGGGAUGGCACUUUAGAUCGAGGUAAGCUACAUUGUCAGAGUAGAUUUGUGGUUUGUAAGCGGAUUAAGAAGUGGUACUAUGACAUGAGUGUUGAACUGAAAGAGAAGGUAUUUGCUACUUCAUUGAGUCAUUUGCCUAUGAUCAUGGCUCCCCACAUUGACGCUCCUUUGAUAUCUGCUUUCGUGGAGAGGUGGCAACCGGAUACGAACACUUUUCACCUUCCAUUUGGAGAGAUGACGAUCAUGUUGCACGACGUCGAGGCGAUACUGGGGAUCCCUAUUGAUGGGCGUGCAGUGAGUUGCUCCCAGACCGACCAGGAGAGGCCCUUGAUUAAUCAGGUUUGUGAGUUGCUUUCAGUGAGAGAGGAUAGGCUUAGAGUGGACCCUGCGCGUAUAUGGGAUAAAGGCGGUGUGAAGAUUUCCUCUAUUAUUGAUAAUUGUUCAGCAGCGGGUAGGGAUGGAAAAUGCCAGGUGACUGGCUGGUUAAUGACUGCUAUUGGUUGUUGUUUGUUUACUGAUAAGAGCAAGAGUCGGCUUUCUGCGAAGAUCUUGCUUGAUCUCGGUAAUCUGGAUGAUGUACAUCAAUAUUCUUGGGGAUCGGCUUGCUUAGCUUUUUCUUUAUCGGCAGCUAGGUGUAGCUUCACGAUCAGAGUCACGAGGUAUCGGAGGUUGUCUGACGCUUCUUCAAGCGUGGAUAUAUGAGCACUUUCCUUGUUUCCGACCUCGCUCGAUCCGGAAGGAUGUAGGACCUAGUGAUCCUCGAGCAUCGAGAUGGGUUUAUGCUCCUGAGAGUAAGGACAUGGAUAGAUUGGCUUCGUUUCGUGCUCGACUUGAUAAGUUGACACCAGAGGAGGUUCUGUGGACGCCAUUUGGCGCCAACCCCUCCGCUCAGUGUUCGAGGACUGUUUACAUUGGGCCCAUAUGUUAUCGUGAUAUCGGCGAGUAUAACCCUGAUCGAGUUACUCGACAGUUGGGGUAUGUGCAGCGUAUUCCGCGGGAUGUCAUGUUCUUUGGCAAAGCGUAUAGGCCACCAAACUUUAGGCAAUAUGAGGUGGAUUUCCAUGAUUUGUCAUAUUUAGAGAAGUGGUGGAACCGUUUCUCAACUGAUGGUAAUUACUCCUCUAGUUUGAUUCUCACGUCUUUGACACCUGUUCCGGAAGGUGUGCCUUACAUGUCUACAGAUAAUUACAUGGAAUGGUUCUUCGACGUCUCUCAUCCACACAUUACUCCUGGUUUUGGUGAAACUCCAGUGACCGCGCCUAUACAUGAUCGGUCUCAUACCGAAUAUUGGGUUAGCCGAUAUGAACGAGUGAUCCAUGCAUUAAUACAAGAGACGAAUGAUCCUGAUAACCCGAUGGUGGUAGCCGCUAAACAGUUAAUGCAGGAUUGGAAAGUUGUUUGUGAUACUCAGUGAUUGUAAUAGAGUUGUUAUGUACCUUAUAUUUCUCAAUUUAACUCGGAACUUUUAUGGACUUUGUUAUGUAAUUUAAUUUUAUGGACAUUUUAUUUAAUUUUAAUGAACAUUUUAUGGAGUUAGUAAA